AUUGAACGCUGGCGGCAGGCCUAACACAUGCAAGUCGAGCGGAUGAAGGGAGCUUGCUCCUGGAUUCAGCGGCGGACGGGUGAGUAAUGCCUAGGAAUCUGCCUGGUAGUGGGGGAUAACGUCCGGAAACGGGCGCUAAUACCGCAUACGUCCUGAGGGAGAAAGUGGGGGAUCUUCGGACCUCACGCUAUCAGAUGAGCCUAGGUCGGAUUAGCUAGUUGGUGGGGUAAAGGCCUACCAAGGCGACGAUCCGUAACUGGUCUGAGAGGAUGAUCAGUCACACUGGAACUGAGACACGGUCCAGACUCCUACGGGAGGCAGCAGUGGGGAAUAUUGGACAAUGGGCGAAAGCCUGAUCCAGCCAUGCCGCGUGUGUGAAGAAGGUCUUCGGAUUGUAAAGCACUUUAAGUUGGGAGGAAGGGCAGUAAGUUAAUACCUUGCUGUUUUGACGUUACCAACAGAAUAAGCACCGGCUGACUUCGU
rnacentral:rRNA from 1 species